rnacentral:rRNA from 1 species
UACGGAGGGCGCAAGCGUUGUUCGGAAUUACUGGGCGUAAAGCGCGUGUAGGUGGCCUGAAAAGUCGGGUGUGAAAUCCCGGAGCUCAACUCCGGAACUGCAUCCGAUACUGCCAGGCUCGAGUCUCGGAGAGGAUGGCGGAAUUUCCGGUGUAGAGGUGAAAUUCGUAGAUAUCGGAAGGAACACCAGUGGCGAAGGCGGCCGUCUGGACGAUGACUGACACUGCGACGCGAAAGCGUGGGGAGCAAACAGG